GGUGAACGUUGGCGGUGUGCCUAAUACAUGCAAGUCGAACGGAGACUGUAGCAAUACUGUCUUAGUGGCGAACGGGUGAGUAACGCGUUGGUGAUCUGCCUCGAAGUGUGGAAUAACCUCCCGAAAGGGAAGCUAAUACCGCAUAGUCUCUCAAGGUUUAGAAAAUUGAGAGUAAAGGAUUUAUUCGCUUCGAGAGGAGCCUGCGUCCCAUCAGCUAGUUGGUAGGGUAACGGCCUACCAAGGCAAUGACGGUAGCCGGCCUGAGAGGGUGUCCGGCCACACUGGAACUGAGACACGGUCCAGACUCCUACGGGAGGCAGCAGUGGGGAAUUUGCGCAAUGGGCGAAAGCCUGACGCAGCGACGCCGCGUGGGUGAUGAAGUUCUUCGGAACGUAAAGCCCUGUCAGGAGGGACGAAGCUCUGACGGUACCUCCAAAGGAAGCCCCGGCUAACUCCGUG
rnacentral:rRNA from 1 species